AAAGCGCACGUAGGCGGCUAUUCAAGUCAGAGGUGAAAGCCCGGGGCUCAACCCCGGAACGGCCUUUGAAACUAGGUAGCUAGAAUUCUGGAGAGGUCAGUGGAAUUCCGAGUGUAGAGGUGAAAUUCGUAGAUAUUCGGAAGAACACCAGUGGCGAAGGCGACUGACUGGACAGAUAUUGACGCUGAGGUGCGAAAGCGUGGGGAGCAAACAGGAUUAGAUACCCUUGU
rnacentral:rRNA from 1 species